CCCACCCAUUUGACGGUUGGAAGAACCGUCCAAAAUUAUACUACACCUUGUUUGGGUGGUUUUUAAACCAUUCGAAGCCGGUGCCCAAAUAAACUCGCAACCACCGGUUCUUCCAACCCUUCAUAAACGGUACCAUCCAAAACCGAUGAAAUAAAAACUCCCAAGCAGGCCCCAAGGAUCCCGUGGUUAACGCCAUGGAGGAGGAACUGAAGUUGCCGUCCACCUAAAUUUUGGAAUCCGAGUGAUUCGCAGCCUACGCCUAUAUCAGAAUCUACAUACACGAGCGCAACUCGUCCUCUACUUCGAUUUCAAAUAGGCUCAUCAAUGAAAGCAACAAAAACAUGAGAAAAGCUGUAGAAGCGUCUGUUUAUAUUACUGGGCUGUGGGGUUUAAUAUUAUUGUUGUGCUAUAAAACAAGACUAAAAGAAUUUCGGCAAUCAGAAUUUUCACACUUUUCAUUUGUUCUUUGACUGUUUAUUUCUUCAUCUUCGAGUUUGUUCAAGUUUAUUGUUUAAUUUUUGAUUUUUUGUUCUCUUCUUUUUCGUUCGACAGUUGUAAAGAAAUCCCCACCUUCAUCUUCUUCAGCAUCAACUACAGCAAAUUCAGUGAUUCCUUAAUAAGGUAAUUAGCCAAUAGUCUUGCGGCUUAUGAUUAUAAUUCUUGUAAUUUUUUACGAAGUUUUUAUUGGUUGAAAUAUUUCCAAAUUUAUUUAGUCAAGAUCCCAUUUUUCCCUGUUGAUAAAUUAGGGGUUAAUGAAAUUGAGAAGCACGUUUUAGUAUCGUUUUGAUUUUUAAUUUUUUAAAAAUCAAAUUGAACAAUUCCAAUUCUUUGUUAAGGAAAUUUGUCGACAGUCUUAUGCCUUACGAUUUAAAUAAGUUUAUAAUUCUUUUGAUUUCUUAUGAAGGUUUUAUGGGAUUUAAGUGUCGCAUAAUUUAUUUAUUCAGGAGCCCUUUUCCUGUUUCACAAACUAUUUUAUUUUUCAUAAGUUCGAGACUUGCAUUUUAGUGCCGUUUCAAUUGAUACUAUCUUUGAGCUGCAAUUCACAUCAAUCUGUCAAUUUUUUCUAUAUCUGAAUGCAUUUUAAGGAGUAGGAUUUGUCAACUAAUUUUUGGGUACUGGGGUAUUAUGGGAAUGGGUUGGUUAGUUCAGGGCAAUGGUUAGGCCAAGGUUUUGAGAAGAGUUAUUUGAAGAAGUAUGGGAAGAAAGAGCGUUGGUCUACAAUUUUGAGUCUUUGGCGUUCUUGCAGAGUUCUCUUUUUUCGUCUUCUCUAUCGAUCCUGCUUAAGUUUUACAGCUAUAGAUCUAUACCUUUAUUUUUUAUAGACUUGAUGCCAGAAGAUGUGAUGUGAUUGAUACUGCGUGAUUGAUGAUUCAGGUUCUUGAUUUAGAAUUUAUUGUUAGAUGUGAAAGUUUUUAUAAAUUAAUUUGUGGGGAAUAUCUUGAUGGGUUCUUGGUUAUUUGGUGAAAUAAGUGUUAAUUAUCUAUUUAUUUAUGUGCUUCUAAAGCAAGUUGGUUGAAUUGAUGGAUGUAGUGGUGUAUUAUUUAUUUGUUGAGCAAAUAUUCCCCAAAAAAAGGAAAAGAAAGAAUCAUUCUUUCAGUUUAUUUCUUAUCGGUUCGUGUUGAAUAUUUGCAUUUCCUUUAAUGAGUCUACAUUUUCUCUUUACAGGUAAUUUGCCUGAAGUUUAAUUUGUACUUUUUAUUUCUACGUGUAGUAUUCUAUUUUCAAGCUGGUGGAAUCGACGAACUUAAUUGUGCAUUUUUUCUUCGGGAAGUUAUGCAUGACAGUGUAAAAUAUAUUCUUUUGGGACCUGGAAUUUUGAAGAGAUUAUCACCUUUGUAUUCUACGAGUAGAAUCUGUUUGAUCCCACAAUGAUUUGCUGUGCAUGAUCUAUUCUAACUAUUUUUCUCUCUACAGGUGUGACAUAGAUAUGAUGUUAAUUAAUAUUACUUAAUAGAGUCACUAUUUGAUAGAUGUAUUCUUAUCUCGAACGCUACAUAUUUACUCAUCAAUUCUUGCAGGUGAACCCAGAGAUGAUUAGCAUUUUGGAAGAAUCUGGCUUGAAUUUGUCAGGAAGUAUGAAAGUGGGGAGCUAAUGGAGGUUACCUAUCUUUAUCUUGCUUUCUGUUGUAGAAAUAAUUGUCCUAUUUUAUUUAAGGUUUGCUGAUGCUUGUGUGCUUAAAUGUUUAUCAGCAGCAAGGUAACCCAAUCACUUUUCCAUUCAUUUGUGCAGUUACAUGUUGAGGUUUCAUGAUGCUGAAUUCUUCCUCUUUGCAUCUAAUCACUCCUAUUUCUGCAGAUUUUGGAGCUUCCAGACCAUCUUUUUUAGGUAGGGGUGCAUUUUCAUCCAGAAUUCAAGUUCGUUUUGGGAGAUCCUCAACUCUUUUUCUAGGUAAAAUUUCAUGCAAGAUCACAUUCCAUGAAAAGUGCAUACUAGGGGGAUAUUAUAAUUGCUGUUAGCUGCCUCUUGGUUAAAUUUGUGGUUUCAGACUAAUGUAAAAAUAUAAUUUGAUACCAGUAGAUGAAAUUAAUAUGGCCUUCUACAGCAGGGAAUGCAGAAAGGAGCUUUAAACAUCCUCCCUCCUUCUUUCACUAUUACUCUUGGUGGUGCUGCCUUGCAUUAUUUUUUAUGCCCUAUGAUGUGGAAAAGAAUAGAACUGCUUUACUGGUCUAUUUUGUGAAUAUUCAUAUUUUCAAUAUCACUUAAAAAGUUGUUUAAUAUUCUGCUACCAAAAUUAUUGAUUUACAGAAGCAAAUAUGUUGUUUGGAAUCUCCAAUUGGAGUGAGAUUCUCUUAUUUUGCUGAUCCUUCCUCUUAUUAUGGUGUAAAUGAUAAAAUUACGAGCAUGUUUCUCCACUCUUUGAGUCUUGCUAAAGAAAUUGUCAACUCUUCAAAUUUUUUUUUUCAUCAUUUCUAGAAAGACAUCGUAAACUCGACUUUAUUUGUCUUUGUGUUUAUUUCAUAAUACAGCCAAGGACAACUUGGUGUUCUUGGAAAAAUGGUUCCUCAAAUUUAUUCCGAUAAAAAAAAAAAAAAAAAAAAAAAAAAGGGUUCCUGAAAUUUCCAAAUUGCAGGAGUAAAGGCUUGUAUAGCACUGGAGAAAGCUGUGUUUGUAUGUUUCUUGGUGUCUGAAAUUUUCAAUUUUUAUUAAUUGAAUGAAAUACAUGAAGAGAUAAAUCUUGAAGAUGCUUAUUGCUUAUCAUUAGGCCACUGUAUACCCCAUAUAGCAGAGAUAAUGCUCCAAUUCAACAAGAAAGAGAAUCUGUUCAACUAUUGGCCGACUUCGGUUUUACUUGAAUUGUUCAAUCCUGUUUUGAAUAUGGAGAACCUUUAUAUUACAUAUGUAACAUACUUGCAUUAGUUAACGGUUUAAUUUUAUUUAACUUGGUUGCCUUGCUUCUCGUUUGAAUCCAAUAUUGUGGCAACAAUAUUUAGCUGAUCUAUUUAAUUUCCUAUAAUUUAUCUUCAAUUUUAGCAUUUUGUUCUUGUGUAGGAACUACUCCAGUUUGCACUAUGCAGAGCUCCUUAAUUCAAGAAAUGAAAUGUACAGGGUUAGAGUUGAAUAAGAUUUGUAUUCUUGUCCUCUUACCAAUGAGUCUAAUUGUCUUUUAGUAGUCAUAUGAUUACAUACUACUGGUGGUGUAAUGAUUGUCUUUAAAUGAGUAAUGAAGUUGUUUCAAAGCAUUGUUACUUGUUACCCAGUUUUGGAAACAUUAAGGUGUAUUCACCUUUGUUAUACUUGUGUCUUGUUUUGUCAUCUUAGGUCUUUAUAUUUUUCGCUUAUGUCAAUUUUUCUGGAUCUUUUUGGUUCUCUUUUAACAUUGAAGUUUUCCAAUGAUUUCAUUUAAAUUCUUUUUUCAGUUUGAUCAACGUCAGAAAUUCAUGGGCCUUCCGACAAGUGAUGAGUUGCAGAAACAAGAUAUUCCGAAGAAGUUUCCGAAGAAGUUUAUGGCUGAGGUGAGAAGUAAAUGGCCCCUGCUCCCACUUCUUUUCUCUGCAUUUUAUACGUAUUCCAGGUUUGAAUAUGCCGAUACUAAUUUUACCUAUGUGAAUUUGCAGCACCUGAAAAUGGACUUCUUGAGGGCAAACUUUAAUUAACCAGUAUGAUAAUGCUUAUUGGGUGGGCUUUACUUUUCUGAACUUUCCCCACUCUUAUAUGUGAGGGGUUGGUUUGCUUGCUUUUAAAAUUCAAGUGUUUUUGUUGUGAGUAUUAAAAGACAGGUGUUCUUUAUUAUUAGAUUGGUUACGAAUAUUUUUAAUGUCUGCUUUGCCAUGGCUUUGAACAACAGUAGAAUGUUUCCUAAAUUCUUUAUAUGCUACAACCCCCAUUUUGAGGUACCAUAAACAGCAAGACCCUACAAAUAGCAUCAUGAAAUGUCAUGAUUUAGUGGCACUUCUUCAUUCGUUCUUGCAGAAAAACUUUUUUGAUUUGAAGGGCUCACCAUCUAAAUAUUUUGCCCAAUCUUGAAGUCUCUACGAUAAUGUAAUAUUUUAGAAAUUUCCUCCUCAUUAAAACUAAUAAGUUGCCCACAAUCUUUGUUACAGAUCCUCGCUAUCUUUAUAGGAUGUGUUCCAUUUUUGAAAAAAUUAAUCUUCACAUCGGAUGCUUCGUGCUAUUUUUCACUGAUAGCUGCUUGAUUCUAGGGCACGUUCAGUUCCUUCCCAUAAUGGGUUAUAUUUAAUUACUCUUUUUGCUUUGUGUUUUAUGGUUCUCCAAUUGCGUGUCGCAAUGCACUUUUGAGCUUCAUUUGGAUUAGGUAUGCAAUAGUAGACAUGAUCGGAACAAUUCUGUAAAUUAGGAGUCUGUUUGGGAGUGAUUUUAAGAAUUGAUUUGUUGAUCGUUAGGAGAAAAGUGGGGUCCACCUGUGAGAGAAGAAAUCAAAUAUGACGGCUAGAAUAAUGAAAUAACGGUCAAAAAAUCAAUUUUUUGGGUGAAAAAAUCGGGCCCAAACAAGCCGUAGAUUUAAGCCUUUUCUUUAUAAUAAUGAUCCAUGGUGUCCAAUCUGCACUACCGUGUAUGUACUAGCAUAUAGCACUGCUGUUCCCAUUUCUUGUCGUACAUGUUGCCGUAUGAAUUAUGAGGGCUGUUAAUUAAGUUGGAU
rnacentral:lncRNA from 1 species